rnacentral:lncRNA from 1 species
UACAAACCAGCUAAGGAAGCAUUGUUUUAGUUGAAAAUAUGGUUAUCAUGGACCCAUUGCGCGUGCCAAAUCACGCUAAAUCCAUGUGCACAAUGGAAAAAAUAUCCAUGGUGUAAUCCCCUUUAAUAAGAAACAUGAUGGAUUGUUGUCUACGAUAAUAUGUACAUACACAUUUUAAUUUAAUAGCACAGACCCAUUUAAAAUCAUGUAUGCAAAUGGCAGCCCCACUAACACAUGUGCUUUGAAAAAAAAUCCAUGUAUCAAUAGACUUAUUCAUGGGCAGUCAUGUAUGCCACCUUAAACGCCCGUGUGUACAUCUAUUUAUUUAUUUUUGUACAGGGAGAAGAGUUGGGUAAAUGUAGGGAGUAUGGGUUGAUACUUCUGGCCUUGUUCAGUUGUUUUCAUCAUCAUCAAUGGAGGAAAUAUCAAUUACUCUUUGAGAACUUUGCCUUUUCCAUGCUCUAAUGCACCUGCAUCUUGGUUGGUUGUGUGAAUGUUCAGAAUUUGUGCUUGAGCUCACUUGACGGAUGGACGGUAAAUUAAUCUAGCUUUUGUGUUGCGGAAGAAAGACAGGGCGCAAGCUAUUUUAAGUUAGGUGAACAUUGCACACCACCACAAGUUUGCUCACUUAUGGAUGUCACUGAAACAACUUGAAAACUAUUCGAUACAGCCAAAAGUUCUGCAAAAUCGGAUACUUUCCAAAGAAAGAAGCGCCCUUUCAGCACAGGUUUUGAAGACUACAUGUAACAGGCAGUUUUCCAUCCUGCAUUAGCAAGUAGGAGAAAAUGUCAAGGGCUGAAAAAAGAAGAACGGGGUAUUUAACUAUGAAUCUGAACUAGAGAAUAGAGUUGACUGCCAUACAAAACUUCCUUCUCUAAGACUUGAUAUCUACAAUACAAGCAGAAAAUCAGUUCAAUAUAGGAAAACUAUAGUGAAUACUACCUCCGUCCGGGAUUAAAAGUCCCAUAAAAAAGUUCUCUAGGACCAAGGUACAACGAGACUUGUGACUGAAUUGACUGCAAGCUGUCCAGUAAUUAUUCUCUCUCCUACAUGCAGCCAAUAGAAUUGAGGCACUCGAGUAUGCAUGCAGUCCAUUCCCAUCGUGCUCUCUCCCCUAGCUACAUGCAGCCAAUGAAUCGAUAGCAAUAAAGCAUGCAUGCAACUACUGCGGACCGGCAGGCCUUAUUAGAAUGGACACGACAUUGUGGCUAAAGGGCCCUAUAAACCUGGAUGGAAGUAGUACAAUAGUAAAAAGUGUAAGAAGAAGUCCCAAGAAAAAAAAUCAAAACCUUUCAUAUUUUUAUUUUUUUGCAGCAUAAAACCUUUCAUAUUACAAUGUACUGAACAUUUUCCCAACAAUUAGAUCAUCCAUAUACGCCAGAGAGUCAAUUGCCCAUUAACUGGUCACCAAAGAACAACAAUUUAAGGAGCAUAAGUCGACUAAUUACAACUGCAGAUAAGUUGACUACAAACCUUCCUGGCUAUUACUCCCUCUGUUCCCAAAUAUAAGUCUUUUUAGAGAUUCCAACAAGUGACUACAUACGGAGCAAAAUGAGUGAAUCUACAUUCUAAAAUAUGUCUACAUACAUCUAUAGGUUGUAGCCCAUUUGAAAUGUCUAAAAAGACUUACAUUUAGGAACCGAGGGAGUACUAUAGUAAACAAUCGGCAACUCUAAGUAUGGUAACAAAGCAAGUCUCUCGAAUCUAAUAACAAUAGCACUAAAUUGUAAAGGCUUGUGUUACAUCAAUUUAUCCCAUUGUGCGCAUGAAAAAAAAUGAACUGCUAGAUAUAUGUUUCCAAUCGACUAUCAUAUGAAUUCUUCAACUUUUAUCUGGAGAUUUUGAAGUAGCAAAGUAUUCUCUCAACUUACAAAAUUGGAAAGAUCAAGGCUUUUGCUAAGCUGGGAGCAUUCAUAUGACAUGUUAGUCUUCAAAAUCGAUAUCUAACUAAAAAAGAGCUUGCUGAACUGAAAACAUGUACUACAUGCACAACUUCUGUCAGGAAAGUGAUAGUGGUUUAGAAGCCUGAUCCACUAGAGUAUCAUCACUGGAAAUUUGAUUGAUCAUCCAAGUUGAUUUAACCAGAACUGAAGGCAAACGAUCUUAUACAUGAAUACCUAUAUGGCUGUAAUCAGAACUAAAACACGCUAUUUUAAAUAUGGGCGGGAAAGUAUAAAUGAGUGCAGUAUUUGGGAGAUUAUGAUGGUGUACUAAACAUAAAUGUAACCAGUCAGCUUCUACAGGGAAUGCAAAUACUCAUGAAAUAAAAGAGUAGAGCACAUCUUUGCAGAAAUAAGGUACAUGUUUCCUUACCUGUAGGCAAAAUGCAACAUACUAUUUUAUUUCUUGCAGCCCUUAGCAUCCUGUAAAAAUAAAAUAAGAAGUCAUGUUAGAUGGUCUGUGAAAGCGGAUACAUGAAUGGUACUAACAUGCUAUAUUUUCUGUCCGCUAGCAAGUUAUUAAGCAAGAUCAUCAAAUAUUUCUUUAUAGACCACAUGUGAGUUUUGCAAGCAUAUUCAGGAGAGUUAUUUUCAAAUUUGUAAUCUUAGGACUGACCAAGAGAUACUCACAUCAGUCAAAAUAGGAAUCCUAGGCGCUAAAUUUCAGAUGUCCAUAAUUACUCCAACAUAGUAACCAACCCAUAAUCUGUAAACUGAGUUUUUUAAAUACUUGAAAAAGAAGUGUAUAGGCAAGAAUGUGUCUUCCAUAGGUAUGUUUAUUUUUUCUAAAAUUGUAUUCAAAUGGGAGUAGUAUGUUAAAAAAGGUGAAGACUAAUAAUUUGGUAUGCAUAUAUCAUAAUUAUUAUGAAUGCACCACUAGGUGUAAAAAGGCUUAAUUGAAAUGGCCGCAAAUUUCCUACAUCCACGAAUGUAGCCAUACCCAUGGUGUCCAAAACCUUCUGGUUCUUGGUGAAUACCUUGCGCGUGGUGGGGUCACAACCACUCCAGAAGAGAGCUAGAGUAAGACCUGAGCGUGGGCUGCAAAGUGAAAGGCAGAGUAGAGUGGUGAUUGUAGACUGAUGGUUAUGAAUAAAAACAUACAAAUCUAAUAGAAAUCUAAUAGAUUUGUUAUACUUAUCCAAUUUGUACAUUUUGUAAUAUAAUUCGGCACUAAUGCCAUUACACCGUCUAGCAUCAUCUAGGAUUUUAGCACCUCUAGCUCUAGUACUCUAACAAAGCAUAGAAAUAAAAAUAAAUACUCAAUUCAGGAAGUUUUUAUGAACUGUACGCCACAUAAGCAAUGCCCUAUGUGCUUGCAAUCUGACAGCCAUGUGAUUUUCCCAUUCUUCCAAAAGACAACCGGUGCAUCAUUUUCACAUAAAACUUGCACGCCAGGCAUUUUUUUGUACAACUACGAAAUGAGCAAUAAAUUAGGAAUGUGUCGCCAAUCGAAAUGAAGUCCACUGCCCAUAAUGUUCGUAAAGAAAUCAACAUCAUAAAGCUCUUGGACUACCUUCCAUUCAAGCUGACCAUAAAGUUUUGCUGCUGGAAUCCUCUUUGGAGAUGUAACAACCUGUAGAAAAUAAGUAACUUAUAUGACUGGCAUAUCAAAAACAUACUAUCAUGCAAAAUAUAGUUAUGUACAUUCAGCAAGAUAUAGAUGACAACAUUCUAUGAGAAGAAAUAACACUGUCCUAUAGAGCGCAAUCAAACCAUUCCCAGUUCAGUUUAGUAUAAAGUACUACAUUACUAAAGGAGAGCUAGUUCUCACAUAGGAUUAAAAUAAGAUCAAUCACGCAGGGUCUGACAUUCAUAUAGAUACAGAAAUAUCUAUGCAACACCACGAGACUUGCAAGGUAACUGUAAAGCAUGCACAUGCCACAUCAUAUACUGUCUGAAACUUGAACAGCUUCUAUUUCUGAUUUAAAAUUGAAUCCAGUUGUAAAUAUAUUACAACAUUCAACGAAGAUUGCCUAUUUUGUUGGGGGCCAGUUCACGUAGGCCUCAAGUUUUGUUGGGCGCCUGUUCACGUUCUUGCUUGUUACUCCUUCUGAACCUGGAGCACCGAUGCCUG